rnacentral:lncRNA from 1 species
CAGAAGUCAUACCACACACGGUGUUCUAACAGAGGAAGGCACAUAAUAAUAAUCCUAUAACAUCGGCCUGUAUGUACUACACUUAGGUGGCACCCAAACCAUGAAUGGUGCUUUCCAAAAACCAGAGGAAGAUACAGUGUUUGCCCCAAGGAGCUUGCAUUCUAAUGGUACAGUAAGCGAGAGCUACAAUAGCGGAGGAACAGAAGAGUUGGUAGACAAAGAGUCAGAAACUGCUGCUCUCUUUCCUCCUGGCACAAGGACGUCUGCCCAGCCUUCCCCAAUACAUGACAGCAACUCAGAGAAAGAAGCAGCCAUGAGACAGAAGAGCUGCUGGGAGCUGUGAAAUAAGGAAUGCUGCUACAUGGCUGGCAAUCAUGGGGAUGCCAAAAGCUUUGGUGGUGCAAUAAGAUCACCAAUGACGGACACAGACUGAACAUCCAGACAGUCUUAAAGAUCUGUCCAAAGAUUGAUCCGGGUGGCACACAAUCUGGAAGGAAUUUAUGUUCUUUUGGGAUUUGCCAUGAUGAUGAUGAUAUCUUUCAGUGGCCUUCUCGAGGUUGCUAGUUCUUCCUUAUGCAUAAUACAUCUGAAGAUUUCCCAAGACAUGAGUCCUCAGCAGGGCUGGUCUAAUACUGCAAAAACAGUUCAUUGGAACUGCAAAGAGCUAUUUGGAUUGACCAUGUUUCUGAGUCCUUUUUAUUCGUGAUUCACAAAUGUUUGUGUAAAGGGCUUUUUAAAUUUGCAUGAACAUUUGAGGAAUGGCUGUUCUUGGCAAACAAGGUUAUUCACUCUUCAGCACUGUUACUGAGAUGGUUCAGUCAUCCAACUGAGAAGCACAAAUGAUAUACCAUGUGAUUCAAAUGACUACUCACAUUCCAAAAAUAACCAAUAGUGAAUAAUAAACUAAAUAGUUGAAGUCAACAGUUCAUGAACACCCUUUAGGCUGAAAACUGACCAAACCUAUAGAGCAGAUACUUGCAAAUAAACAAAACCAUGUGCAGAAAUCCGAAUUGGUUCAUACAGAAUCAAUUCCCAAAAAGGAAACAAGGGUUACAUGUCAACAAUUUAUUCACAACCAGCUCUAGUCAUAACUUAUGAAAACUUUCCUAGGUCUGGUAGAAAUAUUCACUAGUAUGUACUGAUCACAUGCCUCACAAACCAGAGAGAGACCAGUUUUAAAGUACGGAAUAGAGC